GGAGAUUACUUAAAACAAAAAUCAGAAAAAGGAGAUAAUGUAAAAUCCUCUCCUUCGUCGGAACCAUACUACGCCACCUAAUUGCGAUUUGAGCCAGCGCAACCCAUACCUUCUUCUCUCUUUCACCACUGUUCUUUCGCCAUACCUCUUUCCUUUCAUCACCGUUCUCUCUCUCUGUUAUAUACAUGAGCUGAACAUGUAUGAUCGGGUUCAGUUCUGUGAAUAUUGGACAGAUUGUGAACCAAAAGUUGGACAAAAUGCUGAGAGGUUCUAAGAAUUUUGGACUACAAACACAACAUCCGUAAUAUGUCCGUUAUAGCUCAAGUUGACGACGUGGAUGCAGUUGAUAUUGGAGUAGACAUGCCAUUGACAUUAUUGCAGGUUCAUUCUAUCACUAAGACGGUAUCAAGCGGUGACUAUCAUUCCCAGAGAAGUGAAAGAAGCAAAGGAACAGACGUUAUCAAGCGGUGACAAUCGUUCCCAGAGAAGUGAAAGAAGCAAAUGAAUACUGUAAGUACAACUAACCUGGAGUUAAAUAGGAGAAUAAAUCAUCUUGCCCUGAUCUUUGCUUGUACGUAGUGGUGUUAGUGUCAGAAAAUUACGGGAUAAGUACAUAUGAAGUUUAUAUAAAAUAGAGUUGAAUAUGAAAACAAAUACCUGAGAAGUUUAAGUAAUCUGAUCAAUAGAUUCCUAGCUACUUAAUGGGAAAUAAUCUU